GAUGAACGCUGGCGGUAUGCUUAACACAUGCAAGUCGAACGGACUCUUCGGAGUUAGUGGCGGACGGGUGAGUAACGCGUGAGAAUCUGGCUUUGGGUUCGGGACAACCACUGGAAACGGUGGCUAAUACCGGAUGUGCCGAGAGGUAAAAGAGAAAUUGCCUGAAGAUGAGCUCGCGUCUGAUUAGCUAGUUGGUGAGGUAAAGGCUCAACAAGGCAGCGAUCAGUAGCUGGUCUGAGAGGAUGACCAGCCACACUGGGACUGAGACACGGCCCAGACUCCUACGGGAGGCAGCAGUGGGGAAUUUUCCGCAAUGGGCGAAAGCCUGACGGAGCAAUACCGCGUGAGGGAAGAAGGCUCUUGGGUUGUAAACCUCUUUUCCUAGGGAAGAACAAAAUGACGGUACCUAAGGAAUCAGCAUCGGCUAACUCCGUG
rnacentral:rRNA from 1 species